AGGACUACCCGGGUUUCUAAUCCCGUUCGCUCCCCUAGCUUUCGUGCCUCAGCGUCAGUAAAGACCCAGUGAUGCGCUUUCGCCACCGGUGUUCCUGUUGAUAUCAACGCAUUUCACCGCUCCACCAACAGUUCCCAUCACCCCUGUCUCCCUCAAGCCUAGUGGUUUGAAGCGCAAUUCCUCGGUUGAGCCGAGGGCUUUCACACCUCACCUACUAGGCCGCCUACGCACGCUUUAAGCCCAGUGAUACCGAAUAACGUUCGGACGGUUCGUCUUACCGCGGCUGCUGGCAC
rnacentral:misc_RNA from 1 species